ensembl:snoRNA
UUGGCCCUGAGACAAGGCCAGCAGCUUCCUGAUGCUAUUGGUUUCAAGCAGGAACCUAAAGAGAUGUCUUUCUAUGGCCAUUUCAGAACUUGGGCGGUGAAAUGGUCAAUUCAUUAGAAAGAAGCAACU